GCUGAGCAUGGUGGUGUGCGCCUGUAGUCCCAGCUACUUAGGGACUAAGUAGGGGACUGAAGCAGGGGGAUUGCUUGAGCCCAGGAGUUCUGGGCUAUAGUGCACCAUGCCUACCUGGUGUCUGUACUAAGUUCAGCAUCAAUAUGGUAACCUCUGGGACUACCACGUUGCUUAACGAGGGGUGAACUGGCACAGAGUAGAAGUGGAGCAGGUCAAAACUCCUGUGCUGAUCAGCCCUGGGAUCACACCUGUGAACAGCCACUGCACUACAGCCUGGGCAAAAUAGUGAGACCCCCAUCUC
rfam:Pan troglodytes isolate Yerkes chimp pedigree #C0471 (Clint) chromosome 9, whole genome shotgun sequence.